AAAGCAGCAAGAGGAAAAAAGAGUGGCCAAUACUGCUGUCUUUUCUCAAGCGGAUAAUGUCAUGUUCUCAGCCUAAAAAUGAUUUGCAGAGAACCUAAGAAAGUCACUGUUGGAUGAAGAAAUCUUAAAAGAAAGUUGAGAAGUUCAAAGUUCAAAAGCUGGUGUGCUGAUAACCAGUCAAGGCCAACCGUCCCGGCAUACCAGAAGGAUGGAGCCAUCUGAAACUGCACCCCACACAAUUUCCCGGAGGAUUGUGGAUUAGAUAAUCCUAACUGGACCUUUGGGGGGAGGGUUUUGGGGACAUUUCCUAUCUGUGUUUUUUGCGCCUAUUGUCUCAGACCUUGCUUUUCUUUGACUGCAAUCAGUUCAUACUCAG